AGCGAACGCUGGCGGCAGGCCUAACACAUGCAAGUCGAACGAACCUUUCGGGGUUAGUGGCGGACGGGUGAGUAACACGUGGGAACGUGCCUUUAGGUUCGGAAUAACUCAGGGAAACUUGUGCUAAUACCGAAUGUGCCCUUCUGGGGAAAGAUUAAUCGCCUUUAGAGCGGCCCGCGUCUGAUUAGCUAGUUGGUUGAGGUAAUGGCUCACCAAGGCGACGAUCAGUAGCUGGUCUGAGAGGAUGAUCAGCCACAUUGGGACUGAGACACGGCACAAAAUCCUACGGGAGGCAGCAGUGGGGAAUCUUGCGCAAUGGGCGAAAGCCUGACGCAGCCAUGCCGCGUGAAUGAUGAAGGUCUUAGGAUUGUAAAAUUCUUUCACCGGGGACGAUAAUGACGGUACCCGGAGAAGAAGCCCCGGCUAACUUCGUG
rnacentral:rRNA from 1 species